AAGCUCGUAGUUGAAUUUCGGGGUUAGUAGGUUGGUCAUGCCUCCGGUAUGUACUGGUCUCACUGAUUCCUCCUUCCUGACGAACCGUAAUGCCAUUAAUUUGGUGUUGCGGGGAAUUUGGACUGUUACUUUGAAAAAAAUUAGAGUGUUUAAAGCAAGCUAACGCUUGAAUACAUUAGCAUGGAAUAAUGAAAUAGGACGUUCGAUCCUAUUUUGUUGGUUUCUAGGAUUGACGUAAUGAUUAAUAGGGAUAGUUGGG
rnacentral:rRNA from 1 species